rnacentral:lncRNA from 1 species
ACUUGUAAUAAUUAAUUUUGAUUUGAAAACAAAAUAAAUACAUCAAUAGUAAUAUGGUUCAUUUCAAUUCUGAUUCUUACACCUUGAGUAACUAAAAAGGAUGAAAUAUCUGUGCGUGAGACCUUAACCAAAACAAAAAAAAAAAAAAAAAUUGAUAGUAAUUGAGAAAGGACUAUAGAGAAGAAAAAAGAACGGCUGAAAAAAGUUGGCAAGUUAGAGGGGGUAAUUUUUAGGGACCUCCUUUGAUGUUUGGUGUAUUGGCAAGUUGAUUGAAUUCAUGCGAUUGCAGGCCUCUCUUGUCGUUAGUAUACAGUUAACUUGACUGUUAGUAGAUUGAUAAAAAGUCAAAAACGCCCUUAGCUCUAAACAUGCUAUGAUAGCUACAACUUGUAAUGAAUAGUAACUACAAUUUGAUGCUAAACAUCAUACUAGAGCACUAAAAAGUCUAAAAUAGGGUGGGUAAAAAAGUCCAACCCAGGCCCGCAGGCUUUGGCCGACUAUUUUUUAAAAAAAUAAAUUUAUAAAUUAGAAUAAUGUAAUU